rnacentral:rRNA from 1 species
UUGACAUGCAGAGAACUUUCCUAGAGAUGGAUUGGUGCCUUCGGGAACUCUGACACAGGUGCUGCAUGGCUGUCGUCAGCUCGUGUCGUGAGAUGCUGGUUAAGUCCGUAACGAGCGCAACCCUUGUCCUUAGUUACCAGCACGUUAAGGUGGGCACUCUAAGGAGACUGCCGGUGACAAACCGGAGGAAGGUGGGGAUGACGUCAAGUCAUCAUGGCCCUUACGGCCUGGGCUACACACGUGCUACAAUGGUCGGUACAAAGGGUUGCCAAGCCGCGAGGUGGAGCUAAUCCCAUAAAACCGAUCGUAGUCCGGAUCGCAGUCUGCAACUCGACUGCGUGAAGUCGGAAUCGCUAGUAAUCGUGAAUCAGAAUGUCACGGUGAAUACGUUCCCGGGCCUU